rnacentral:rRNA from 1 species
GACGAACGCUGGCGGCGUGCUUAACACAUGCAAGUCGAACAAUGAAGCUGGAGCUUGCUCCGGUGGAUUAGUGGCGAACGGGUGAGUAACACGUGAGAAAUCUGCCCUUGACUCUGGGAUAACUGCGGGAAACUGUAGCUAAUACCGGAUAUUUUCCUUGGUGGGCAUCCACUGGGGAAGAAAGAAUUUCGGUCAAGGAUGAUCUCGCGGCCUAUCAGCUAGUUGGUGAGGUAAUGGCUCACCAAGGCGACGACGGGUAGCCGGCCUGAGAGGGUGACCGGCCACACUGGGACUGAGACACUGCCCAGACUCCUACGGGAGGCAGCAGUGGGGAAUAUUGCACAAUGGGCGCAAGCCUGAUGCAGCAACGCCGCGUGAGGGAUGAAGGCCUUCGGGUUGUAAACCUCUUUUAGCAGGGAAGAAGCGAAAGUGACGGUACCUGCAGAAAAAGCACCGGCUAACUACGUGCCAGCCGCCGCAGUAA